ACUCAAAUGAAUAGACGGGGGCCCGCACAAGCAGCGGAGCGUGUGGUUUAAUUCGACGCAACGCGCAACACCUUACCAGGGUUUGACAUCCCCAGGAUCUGGCUGAAAGGCUGGAGUGCCCGCAAGGGAACUGGGAGACAGGUGCUGCAUGGCUGUCGUCAGCUCGUGUCGUGAGAUGUUGGGUUAAGUCCCGCAACGAGCGCAACCCCCGUGGCUAGUUACGUGGAUGUCUAGCCAGACUGCCGGCAGCAAACCGGAGGAAGGUGGGGAUGAUGUCAAGUCAGCAUGGCCCUUACACCCUGGGCGACACACACGCUACAAUGGCCGGGACAGUGGGCAGCCAAGCGGUAACGCGGAGCCAAUCCCCCAAACCCGGUCUCAGUUCAGAUUGAGGGCUGCAACUCGCCCUCAUGAAGGCGGAGUUGCUAGUAACCGCAGAUCAGCAGUGCUGCGGUGAAUAUGUUCCCGGGCCUUGUACACACCGCCCGU
rnacentral:rRNA from 1 species